rnacentral:tRNA from 1 species
GUUUCAGUAGCUUAGUUGGUAAAGUGCUCGUAUAGCAUACAAGAGUCUUGGGUUCGAGUCCUACCUGAGAAU